rnacentral:ncRNA from 1 species
AUAUUGCUGCAGUUAAAAUGCUUAUAGUUGGAUCUAGGUUACGUGCUGCAAAUUGCAAUUCGCGUUAACUGUGAUCGUGACUUUUAAUUUGCUGGUCUGAGGUUGGGGUCGCCCUUCAGCUGUCAGUAAUUUACCUAACUUGAAUAAAUCAGUGCUCAAUACAGGCGCUUGCUUGAAUAGCUCAUCAUAGGAUAAUGAAAAAGGACUUUGGUUCUUUUUGCUGGUUCCAGAACUGAUUUAAAAGUUAAGAGGGACAAACCGUGGGCAUUCGUAUCAUUACGCGAGAGGUGAAAUUCGUGGACCGUAGUGAGACGCCCCCAACAGCGAAUCCCGAUUUUUUUGCCCAAUUUUAAUUCGAACGCGAUAUUUAUCAAUCUA